ACGUUAGCACUCUCUUCUCUUCUCUCUUUCUUCCCCCAUUUUUAACGUCCCUCAUCACUCACUUUAAUACGCUCUUAAAUUCAACCCCCCAUCCCGUCUCUCUCUGCACAAUAUAUUGACACACACUCGCACAGUGAUAUUAUUCAUAUAGUAGUAGACUGCAAAUUGGGUACUUGUAGCCCCCUCAGCCUCUCUCCCGUCCUUCUUUUCUUUCUCUCUCACCAAAAGUACACAGGGUAGAGAAAAGCCAAAGCCACCUGUUAAUACAUUUACAAACCAUCACCUAAAACCACUUCCACCUGUGAUCACAUUUAUUAUAUAUAAAAACCCUUUAAUUAAAAUUCCCUUUUUUUUGCUAUUCCUGUAAUUCCUUUUGUUGUUUUCCUUCCAUUUCUGACCAUUUUCCCCAAAUGGGUUUCUAUUUAUUGGCUUUGUAGGCAUCUGCACCGAAAAUCUCACCAAGAUUUUUUUUUAUUUUAUUUAUUAAGAUCACCCAAAUCUGAAAAACCCUUUCUUGAUUGAUCUCUUAUAUAUAAGAGAGAGAUAUAAAGAUUGGGUUUUUUAGUGAGGAGGAGGAGGAUAAAGAUAGGAACUUUAUUUCUGAUUGGAAUUCUUGGGUUCUGUUGAGAAAAUUAGAGUAAUUUUCUGGUUUUUCCUUUUUUGGGUGUUUUGGGGUUAUUUAUUUUAGGAGGUUCUGCUUCCAUGGCUGCUGGGACAGAAGUUUCUGGUGAGACAGCGGUGGUGGAGGUCCCUCCUGUUGCUGUUCAGCCAGAUGAAACAACUGCUGCUUCAAAAAAUAAUGUUGAUUCUAAUUCCAGAAUGAAUGAUAUAUCUGCUCCUUUAACUAAUGGUGCCAAGGAGUCUGAUUCGAGUUCCAAUAAUUCGAAUUCAAAAUCAGAACUCCAAAUGCAAGAUAUAGUUGAUAUGUUGAAGAAACUGAAGUUGAAUCCACUGGCCAAGGAAUUUUUUCCUUCUUCAUAUUACCGUGAUCAAAUGGGAGUGACUAAUUUUGUGCCAGCUAAUAUGAAUUGGGGCAAUGAUGGUUUCCCCAACAAUCGAAGGAGAAGAAAUAACUACAGUCAGGGCCGGAGGCGAUUUAAUGGUAGGGCUUUUAGAGCCCAAAGAGAAGAUAGCAUCAGGCGAACUGUCUAUGUUUCAGACAUUGAUCACAAUAUCACUGAAGAGCAACUUGCUGCCUUGUUUAGUGGUUAUGGCCAAGUUGUUGAUUGUCGAGUUUGUGGUGAUCCUCACUCCCGCCUUCGCUUUGCUUUCGUUGAGUUUUCUGAUGAAUACUCUGCUCGAGCAGCUCUUAACCUUUGUGGGACGAUGUUAGGAUUUUCUCCAGUUAAGGUGUUACCUUCAAAAACUGCUAUCCUUCCAGUGAAUCCUACAUUUCUUCCAAGGUCGGAGGAUGAACGCGAAAUGUGUGCUAGGACAGUUUACUGUACAAAUAUUGAUAAAAAGGUGUCUCAAGCUGAUGUCAAGAACUUCUUUGAAACUAGAUGCGGUGAGAAGUUAUUUUGUUACAGGUUUCUCGCCUGAGGCUUUUGGGAGACCAUGUGCACUCAACUCGCAUUGCUUUUGUUGAGUUUUCUAUGGCUGAGAGUGCAAUUGUGGCGCUGGACUGUUGCGGUGAAAUACUGGGGUCCCAGCGCAUUAGGGUGAGUCCUUCAAAGACACCUGUUAGGCCCCGCAUUCCCCGCCCUGUUCUGCACUAGCUGAUCUUUGGAACCAAAGAUUGGGAGGGACUUUAGCGCUAAUUUUGUUGGAAGAGAAGUUUGUCCUGAUGGAGGAGGGGUGAAACACGCCUUCCUCAUUGUAUUUCCAUCUUUCUGGCAAUAGUACCUUUUUUCCUGCUAUCAAGCAUCUCUCUUAACUCUCUGUUUAAUCAGUCUUAAGGAUUGUCGCAAUCCUGAGCACUUUUACCAGAAUGGAUGAUGGAUUAUUUUGUUUCCGCGAUUAUACAGAAACAGCGUAGUCCACAUUUUUGAUGAUUGUGAGUAGAAUUCUUGCAUGUUUAUUUCUUGCCAUUGUGUCCUUAGA